ACUUAUAUGUACUAAGUAUGAAAGAUGUUAUGUGAAAGAGCUGAAAAUAAAAAUCAGAAAAAUGUAUAUGUUUGUGUGGCGUGUUCUAGAGAGAGAAGGGGAAAAAUCCUCUCCAGAAUUCAAGUCACAAAAUCAGUGAAUUGAAGGUAUAAUCCAAGCAAUUUCCUUGCAUGUUUGAAGAUUUUAACCCUCUAGCACCAUCUAAACCUAAGUUUGACUCUUAACAAGCUAGGUGGGAGCUUGAAAAGGAAUGGGUCAAACCGGUCAAGCGCGAGAGGAAGAUUGAAGGGACGCAAGGUUGAGGCUUAAAAGGAAAAGUUUGUGAAGUGCAUGCUUCAGCAAAGUGCACGCUACAGCAAAAGUGCACGCUUCAGCAGAGUGCACGCUACAGCAGAGUGCACGCUUCCGUAAAGUGCACAUAUUUAGUCGUCGCAGCAAAAUACAUCUGAAGGCGUUUCUGUCGCGAUACCCGACGACCCCCAGUUAUAAAAAGGCGGGAAACCAAACGGAAGACCAAGCACGCAAAGAACCGAACACUCCUAAACCACCAUCUCCCUGGAAACAUCUUUUUCAGGAAAGAUAAAGCGUAGGCAUGCAUGACAAAGUUUUGGAGUCUAGAACCUUGUUGUUUUUGGACUGUAAUAUAUAUAUAUAUAUAUGUAACAAUCUGUCAUGUUAGUUUGUCUGGGUUAUCAGUUAACCCAAUCUCGUAAACUAUUCGUUUUAUAUAAAAAAAAAAGAAAAAAAAUGGCACAAAAUCACCUGGAUAUUCAAGAUAUUCGGUGAAAACGGGAAUGAGUAUUACAUUUUUUGUGUUGUGUGGAUUG
rnacentral:lncRNA from 1 species